CCUACGGGGGGCAGCAGUGGGGAAUAUUGCACAAUGGGGGAAACCCUGAUGCAGCGACGCCGCGUGAGUGAAGAAGUACUUCGGUAUGUAAAGCUCUGUCAGCAGGGAAGAAAAUGACGGUACCUGACCAAGAAGCCCCGGCUAACUACGUGCCAGCAGCCGCGGUAAUACGUAGGGGGCAAGCGUUAUCCGGAUUUACUGGGUGUAAAGGGAGCGUAGACGGCAGGGCAAGUCUGGAGUGAAAGGCGGGGGCUCACCCCCCGGACUGCUCUGGAAACUGCCAGGCUGGAGUGCAGGAGCGGUAAGUGGAAUUCCUACUGUAGCGGUGACAUGCGUAGAUAUUAGGAGGAACACCAGUGGCGAAGGCGGCUUACUGGACUGUAACUGACGUUGAUGCUCGAAAGCGUGGGGAGCAAACAGGAUUAGAUACCCCUGUAGUC
rnacentral:rRNA from 1 species